rnacentral:lncRNA from 1 species
AUCAGGGUUGAACAGAACUACCAACUGAGGUUCAGGCUCACUGGAAGCGGUGUGGACAAAGACCCCGUCGGCGUCCUCAGCAUAGACACGGAGACUGGAAACAUCAUAGUCCAUCGCAAGGUCGAUUACGAGCUUUUCCCGCAUCUGAAGGUGAGACGGCUCACAGAAAAGUUUCGGAAAAGGUCACACGGCUCCCAUUAGGACUGAGGACGGGGCGGUGACAUCAAGGGCACCGCUGCCCCGUCAGACCACGGGGGGUCUGGGAGUUUGGAGCUCCACUUCUAGGUGGAUUGAAACUCAAAGUUUGUGGGUUUGAAGCUUCCAAUUUGUGGGAUUUGAACUGGGCGGUUCCUUCCUCUACCUUCUUAAAUGUAUCCUCCGUUUUGUAUUCAUACAGUAAACGUUACACUUCAUGAUGUCGCUGCCUUGUGCACACGUCGCACACGUACACAUCACGGCUAUUUCCUGAUAAUCCGUACAAACACAGAGAAUCCAUCUGAAAACCAAGUCCAGAAUGUCAGAACUGCCCUGAACUCCAUUAAAUCCAGAGUUCGGACCGGUACGUUUAAAAUUCCUUGUAAUUACACUUACUUAGCUCCAUUUUUCUCUUCCCUUUCACUGUCAUCAUUUGUCUUGUUGGGUGGCAAAGUGGCACAGUAGGUAGCGCUGGUGCCCCACAGCUCCUGGCUCAGGCUAUGGAAAUGUCAAAUGUUCUCUCCAUGUUUGUGUGGGUUUCCUUCCCUCCUAUGUAUAAAAGCAUUAAAGAACUGCAUUCGGAAAUGUGCCCGCAGCUCAUGUUUGAGGCGAUAAACGCCUCCAACGAGAUGGUCGAGACGAGGCUCGGAGUGGAGAUAAACAUUCUGGACAUAAAUGACAAUGAACCAACGUUUCAGAAAGAAGUCUACAACACCACAGUGGAGGAAUCAAGGCAACAAGGACAGCUUGUACUCAUCGCGGUGGCCACAGAUUAUGACAAGAAAGGCAGCCCAAAUUCAACCAUUGAUUACAGAAUCGUGUCUGUGAAACCAGAGACUCCGAAUGUGCAAUUCUAUAUAGAAAAAAGCGGCAGAAUAUCCUUCAAGGGAUGUCUGGACUACGAGGUUAGUGAACUCUGCUCCAAUAAACGGGGGCAUCAGUCUGGAUUGUGUUUCAGAAAUGCAAUUUCUGCUACUCUGUGACCUCAGCGAUCAGCAGCGAAGUGUAAAAUGGCAGCGAAGUGCAUUACAUCAGUAUCAAGACAGAAGUGGGUGUAAAAAAGCAUGGAUCUGAGACCCUAAUUGAAUGCUGGGAGGGAUUCAGCAGCUCUGAGGGACUCAUUCCAUCAUGUUGGGGCCAAAACCAAGAACCUACGGCUUUCAGUUUUGAAUCCCUUGUGAGUGGAACCACCAAAAGGACAAAGCUUCUACAAAAAAUAUAUGCUCCCAGAACUGCAUCAGCACUUUAGUCACGCUGGUAAUAAAAAUGCUGUCAGAGUAUCA